rnacentral:rRNA from 1 species
GACGAACGCUGGCGGCGUGCCUAAUACAUGCAAGUAGAACGCUGAAGAGAGGAGCUUGCUCUUCUUGGAUGAGUUGCGAACGGGUGAGUAACGCGUAGGUAACCUGCCUUGUAGCGGGGGAUAACUAUUGGAAACGAUAGCUAAUACCGCAUAACAAUGGAUGACCCAUGUCAUUUAUUUGAAAGGGGCAAAUGCUCCACUACAAGAUGGACCUGCGUUGUAUUAGCUAGUAGGUGAGGUAACGGCUCACCUAGGCGACGAUACAUAGCCGACCUGAGAGGGUGAGCGGCCACACUGGGACUGAGACACGGCCCAGACUCCUACGGGAGGCAGCAGUAGGGAAUCUUCGGCAAUGGGGGCAACCCUGACCGAGCAACGCCGCGUGAGUGAAGAAGGUUUUCGGAUCGUAAAGCUCUGUUGUAAGUCAAGAACGAGUGUGAGAGUGGAAAGUUCACACUGUGACGGUAGCUUACCAGAAAGAGACGGCUAACUACGUG